rnacentral:ncRNA from 4 species
AAGUCGUAACAAGGUCUCCGUAGGUGAACCUGCGGAGGGAUCAUUACACAAAUAUGAAGGCGGGCUGGAACCUCUCGGGGUUACAGCCUUGCUGAAUUAUUCACCCUUGUCUUUUGCGUACUUCUUGUUUCCUUGGUGGGUUCGCCCACCACUAGGACAAACAUAAACCUUUUGUAAUUGCAAUCAGCGUCAGUAACAAAUUAAUAAUUACAACUUUCAACAACGGAUCUCUUGGUUCUGGCAUCGAUGAAGAACGCAGCGAAAUGCGAUAAGUAGUGUGAAUUGCAGAAUUCAGUGAAUCAUCGAAUCUUUGAACGCACAUUGCGCCCUUUGGUAUUCCAAAGGGCAUGCCUGUUCGAGCGUCAUUUGUACCCUCAAGCUUUGCUUGGUGUUGGGCGUCUUGUCUCUAGCUUUGCUGGAGACUCGCCUUAAAGUAAUUGGCAGCCGGCCUACUGGUUUCGGAGCGCAGCACAAGUCGCACUCUCUAUCAGCAAAGGUCUAGCAUCCAUUAAGCCUUUUUUUCAACUUUUGACCUCGGAUCAGGUAGGGAUACCCGCUGAACUUAA